AGAUGUUAGUGGUAAGAUGAGAUACCUCUUUAUUUGGCCUGGCUAAAAAUAGCAGUCAAAUGGCAGAGUCAGGCCACUGCAGGACAAGUAGUCAAUGGGCUGAACAAGCGAUUGAACUCCAAAUACUCCCGGCUCGGCAAUCUGCAGCUGACAGGCUAUUUUUUGCUAUGGUUGACUAAAUAUGGUCAGGGAGGGAGCAACAGUGAAGAGACUGGUUGUCGGUUGUGCAUGUUUCAGAUGCUUAGCUGGGUAUAUAAGUACUAGAAAUGUGGUCCCACUUUCUGAUUAGAAAGUAUUCUCAGCAAACCCCUCCUGCGUGUGUGAGUCCCGACCUCUACUGACCUCUGGAGGGGAGAAGGUAGCUUCUUGCAGUCCUGUACAGCGCAGCUCAUCUGUAUCAAGGUGUGCUGUGCUGCAGCAUCCAUUCGAGUGAAGGUUGCCUCUCCUAAACUCCUGGUUUUGUCCUUCAGUGUGGUCUGCCUCUCUUCUUUCUUUCUCUCUCUCUCUCUCUCUCUCUCUCUGCCUUUCAGUUACUGCUUGUCGCUUGUAUGCUAUACAUUCUAACACCCACGAAUGUGGCAAGUCUGUGCUGCAGCAGAAUAGAAGGAGUUGGGGGCUGCUAAAUUCCGAAGAAUUUCUACAUCCGAGGACUAAUACCAUCACAGGGCCCAGUUUCUGCAUAAGAGAUUGGUUAUGAGAGAAGGCUGACGGUUGCUGCAUGAAGUGCAUUAUUACCUCGUGAUAUUGUGACCCUCCUCUAUGCAUCCCUAACUCUCCAAAGCUGAUUCAGCUUUCAGCUAGUGCUCUGGUGACACAACUGCUGCAACAGAAUCUCUGAUCUGCGCCGCCACUCUGGCUACAUUGUUAGGGGAGGUUUAAAGCUCAGCUCGGGAUGACUGUGAAGCAGACAGAGAAAGACAGAGACUGGAAAGAGCAACCAAAAGCACAGGAUGGGACUGGAAAUUAUGAGGGGCUGAACCGGUUGCUGCGUCCGUCCUUAUCAAAUCUGUUUGUGGGGAAGCCUUGCUGCCUAACAGCGACAUACAAGUGAACUAUCAGUGAUGGCAACAGAUGUGUGCUUCGGCUGCACCAAGUCUAAAAGUGCAGGUCCCCUGAAAUCAAGAAGUGAUCCUGGGAGCAGCAACAUGUCUAGCAGUCAAAAUAUGACUUAUGAGACCUGUGAUUAAUGGAAUUUUUCAAUUGAACCUAGGUUUCUCACGUGUACCUGUGGACGUUAUUUGUGCCAAAAGCAGUGAUGAUUUCACACAGUCAACUUCCAAAUUUUUAUACAGUUUCACAAAAUGAAAAUUGUAGAAUCAACUGAUUUCUAGAGACAGCUUAUAGCAAAGAAGAAAGCCAUUUGAUGCACUUGGUGUUUGCCAGCUAUUUGGUGCUGUAAUCUAUGGUAUUCUUUGUCUCCUGGUGCGAUGAAGGAAUAUUUACUGUCUCUUGAGUGUGAUUUGAAUCCUUCUACCACAGAACAUUACCCUGAUGUUGUUGGGGCUACCAAAACAGAGGCACUGCCACUACACCAUUGGAUGUUGCCAGAUCUGCUGAGUUUAUGCAGCAUUUAUGUUUUUGUACCACAUUGACUCUACCUGAUUACCUUGAAUGUUUGCAAGUUUCCUGUUAUAAUGUCUUUAAUAUUAACUUGUGAUAUUUUGCUAUGAUAGAUGUCACUCUAACUGGCCAGUAAUUUUCUAUGUUCUGACUCCUUCUCCUGUUGAACAAAUGAGUUAUAUUUGCUAUCCUUAAUUUAAUAGAAUAUGGAAAUUAUUUUUAAAUAUUAUAGGAUGAAAUCCAUCUUCACCCAAGAUAUUAGAACCGAUUAUCAAACAUGUUUUAGUAGGAAACUUAGAAUAGCUCAAAGUAAUCCAGCAAUGUCAACAUAGUUUUGUUGGAGUUCUUUCAGGAAGCAAUAUGUGCUGUGGAACUGGUACAAGCACCUGCACUGAGACUUCCAGAAGGUAUUUGAUAGCUGCCAUAUCAAAGGUUGUUGCAGAAAAUAAAAACUGAGUUUGUAAAAGAUAGCAUGAAUUGAAGGUUGGCUCAGUAACUGUAAAGAGACAGUCAGCAUAAUUGGGUUAUUUUCUGGGUGCAAUGUGUGGUGGGCCACAGGGAUCAGUUUUUGAGACUCCAUCCUUUACGAAUUAUAUCAAUAACCUGAUGUAGGUGUUGGUUGCUAAAUUUGUUGAAUCCACAGAAAUAGCUAUGAAGAUAUGCUGUGAAGAGGACAUGAGGUGGCUGUCAGCCCUCAGAAAUGUCAGACAUCAGCCCUGAUCUCCUGAAGUUUGAUCAGCGUCACUUCCUCGGUGGCUGUAAUUCUCUCCCUUCCAUUCCCUUUCUUAGCACAUCCUUUUCUGGGAGAUUUUUUUCAAAAAUGUCUUUAUCUUGCGCUCAAACUUUCUGCCCAAUUUCUGACUGAAUUUGUUAUUUGAUUGCAAUCAAUGCUUUUUGAGCAAAAUUGAAUAAAGCUACAUUCCUUCUAUAUGAAAUGAACGGCAAUUCAAUGAAGCAAGUGCCAUAAUUGAAAUUGGUCACUAGAUGGCAGCAUAAUCCCCACUACAUGCGACUUGAGUCAGCAUUCAGCAACAUGGGAAAGACAAGUUUGAAGGAGAGUACAUGUAUUUGCAUUUCUGUGAAAGUGCCUAACUUUCAUGUAAGGCCCUAAAGUUACAUGACAAAGUCACAGUUAUCAAUACUUUGGCAUCAAAUGAUAAUGCCUCGCUGUUGAAAAAAAACAUCAGAAUUUAAUAAAAAUGCUAGAAAUCCGUCAAGAAGUAACACAUCCAGUUUGCAAUAUCACUAUGUAGGGUCACAGACACAGAGUCAUACAUCACAGAAAUAGAACCUUCAAUCCAACUAUUUCAAUAUCUAACACAUUUGCACUAAUUAAAUACUGGGAGCAGAGAAACUUGGAAAUUUGGAGUGGACCAUGCAGUGCAUUAAACAAUCACUGGCUUUGAUCCUACUCCAACAUUGAGAGAAGUCAUUGUUGAUCUGUACUGCCUCCACCUGACACUUUUUUCAGGUUACAACAGGCUGUUUGCAGCUUCGGUGUCACCUUUGACCCUAAGAUGAACUUUCAACCACAUAUACUCACUGUCAUUAAGACAACCUAUCUCUAUCUCCAGUUUCACCCUGUUUCAGGUCAUAAGCUGCUGAAAUUUUCAUUCAAGGCUGUAUAACCUCAUCAACAUAGGAACACAUAUAUGAAUUGGGAGAAGGAAUAGGCCACUCAGCCUCUCAAGGCAGUUCCGCCUUCAAUAAGACCAUGGCUUGUCUGAUUGCUCCAUAUUUCCACCCACCCCUCAUCAGUUUUCACACCUUGUUUAUAAAUAAUUUACUUAGCUUUGCCGUUAAAAUAUUCAAGAACUCUGUUUCCCACUUUCUUUUGAGCAAGAGAGUUCCAAAACCUAAAGAAACUUUCUACAUCUCCCGUCUUGAGUUUCAUAGUCCUAGAAAUUCCCAAAAGGGGUAACAUACUCUCUACAUCUGCUCUGAUAGAUUUCUCAGUGUCUUAUAUGUUUCAAUCAAGUUGCCUUUCACUCUUCUGAACGUCAUUUGACAUAAGCCUUUUCGAUUAAAUUCCCUACAGUUUGGAAACAGGCCUUGCCUUGAAUUAGAUUAGAUUAGAUUACAUUAGAUUACA